CCCCCUGUUCUUCUUCUCUUCUAGCGGGCACCCACGUGACAUCCACGGACGCAUCGUCAUCAUCAACCGCUUCACUUGUAUCUGACAACUCAACAAAGGAAGCAGCAGCGGGUACAACAUCAUCAUCAUCACACCGUACGUCCAUGUGUGUAAUGCUGCCUGACUGAGACAUAUCCCUGUUAUCUACAUCCUCUGGCAAUAAUGGUUGCGCAUCACUCAUUUCUUCCAACUGAUGUGUAAAUAACUCCUCUGACAUACCAAGUGAAGCUGCUGUGGUGCUAGUGUUGGUGGUGGCGGCAGGCGGGCGAGUGGUAACUUGAG